UUUUUAUUAUUUCUUCUUCAUUUAUUCCUUUCCCCAAAACCUAAUUUCGUUUAUCAAACCAGAAAAACCAACAAUUUGCUCUUCCUAAAACCAUUCGAACACAAAACACCAUUCGAUUUUCAUCAUCUUCUCUAUUUCUUUAUCUGAUUUCGGAACAUAAUUCAGUAAGAAAAACUCCAUUUUUUCUCUGCAUGUUCGACGCCAAAACAAUAGGUUUGUUUCUUUGAUCUUCCAUUUUUUUUCUUUGAAUUAUAGGAUUGUAAAGCAAGAUACAACCAUCUUCAUCAUAGUCCCUGAUUUCUCGACCAAGCAAUUGAUUUUCCCCAAAUUGCUUGCUUUCAUCUCGAAAGCCAACAAUCCGACAAUUUUUCACGUUCUCACCCGGAAUCGAAAGCAAUAGCCGCCAUUUGCCCCUGAUUAUCGAAAGUAGUAGUGGUCCUUCCUUUUUCCUCUGAGAUAUGAUUCAAACAAAUGGCAUCAACCUCCUUCCCUUGGUCUCCAUUACCGCAAGUUUAGGAGGAAAUGACAUCAUCGAGGAAUCUUUUAGUUUAUAGCUGAGGACUGGUUUCGACUCCUUGAAGCAACGUUAUCUGUGUGUAGUAGCAGUCUUUUAAAAGAUCUAGCCAGACUACAGUUUUAAAAAGUUAUUUUAUUAAAGUUGUGAAAUUUAUAUUGUUGAGAUAUAUUUGUGAUGAAUGAUUAUGUUGAUAUUGAUAUGGUCAAUAAAUCGAGCUCACAAGCUGAUCAUUGACGGAGUAAAGGGGCAUUGUUUUUCCUACUCCCUAUUUGGAGGCGAUUUGUCAUUCAGAUAUCGACUAACUUCACCCGAAAGUGACAUAGCCUUAGAACUAUGGAUGUUUCUCUCAACUAGACUCCUAAUGCGCACAAAGAUAUAAGACUGAUGUUGCUUUUAAAUAUUUUAGUUUGACUUAUUAUGUUUGUUUUGUUUUGGAUUGCUUCUGCUCACUCAGUUAAAACUGAAUCCCUAUUGUUUAUGUCGUUUAGAUUACUUACAGGUUGGUAUCAGCCGAAAACGAUGGGAGAGCAGAGGUGAUUAGAGUAUACCAUGAAUAUAUUUUGGAUUUGAGUAUGUAUAGAAGUUGGUAGUGUCUAUGUUGGGUUUUAGUAUGUGUAUAAUAGGUUUGGUUAUGUUUGAAUUUUGGACUUUCAUAGUUGUAUGAUUAUUUGGAUUUUGGUUUA